rnacentral:lncRNA from 1 species
GUUUACCCAGAGGAAAAUGUUUUCAGUACACGACAGAGAGAGACAGGGGGAAAAGGGAGGAGGGAGAGAGGGGGAGGGGAGAAGAAGGUGAGGGGGGAAGGGGAGGGAGAGGGAAAGCGAUUUAAAUGCCAGACCGUUGUUGCAAGUGGCUUCCAGGAAGACCCGAGAUUACUCCUUGAGUUCCAUGUCCCAGAGGACAUUUCCUGUUCGGCCUCUGGAAGUUCUAGCCAAAAGUUACAAAACAUCCUUUUCCCGGUGCCCAAGCGCUGGUGGAGGAGGGAGAGCCAGUGGGCCAGCCAGUCCUCGCAGCAGGUGGUGCAAAGCGGGCGGCGGCAACGGACAGUCUACCUGACGUUCACGGAGAUGGGAAGUGAGGGGAACACCUCCAUGUUUCUUCAUCUUCAGCCCUGGAAAUUACCAAGGAAGAGACUUUCUUCCUUAGCCUCGUCCCUUAGUCUUGGAGACCUCAAAGAAACGUAAGUGGACAGGAAGAGUUGGAAACUGGAGCAGAUGAGAGUGUGGCGAAGCAGGACUGGAGGAUCUGUUAUGUUUGUCUUCAGCACGGGACCUUUGGAAUUUUCCAGUUUGACUUUCUGGCUAAUCAUUACCGGCUCCAUAAUUGCUGGCAGCUGACCCUGGUCUUGCCAGCCACCUGCCCAGCAGCCCGAGAACCGCACCAGCUGCAGCCAGCUGCUGAGGUCCUCAGUCUAAAGAAGACUGAAGACGGAGGGAGCAUGCUGGUUGCCUGCCCACCCAGCUGCUGGAGGAGUGAUUGACUGUCUUACUCUGUUUCCUGGGCUCCUAGAAUGAGCUUCCAGAGCCUGCAGAACUCACAUGAGCACCCACUGCUCAUCCCCUGGGAUGGCCUCACGAGCUAGCCACCACUGCCCGUGCUAGCACACACCACUGCC